UCUUCCUUUGGCCCAUAAGAGGGGAUUGGGCAGGUGGGCUGCCUCCUUGGAAUUGCCUUGUAAAUAGAGCAGCACCAACGGUGUUGGCAGAGGCUGGAAGUUUUCAGAGUUGGGAAAAUGUGUUCAUUGCCUUUGGGUGCAUUGCAAGGAAAGUCCACUAGUUGCAUCAGAGGACUUUGUCUGAAGGCACAACUGAGAUGAACUUACAAAAGAGCCACUGAGUUUGGUCUUGUCAUUGUUUUUGAAUGGGAAAUCUGUCCUCAUACGAUUUUCUGGGUUUGUGUUGAGAACAUUUGCAUUCUCAUUUUUGCCCCUUCUCCUCCUUCACUGUGAAUUUUUUGAGCACCAUUUCACCUGUUUCUCUUCAUAAGGACUGUCACUCCAUGUAUAAUAACAGAUUGCUUGUGUGUAGGCCGUGUAGCAUGGAAUAUCUGGGAACCCUCACAUUGUGUUUUUCUGCAAUUAUUAUAUGUAUCAUCAUAAACCCGUAUACGCUUGUGUGUGAAAGUGAAAUAAAGAGAACACCUGAAUGUCCUGUGGUCUUUGUAGAUAUGUUCUUCCUGGGAAAGCUCUCUCAAGUUUUUUAAAAGGAUGGGUUAUUUUUCUUAUUUUCUCCCUUGGGCCUGUGUGUUCAAAAGUCUGCAAAGUAGUGAGGUGGGGAACCAUCCUUCCUAAAUCUCCCAACAGCUCCAGGUGCACAUGGCAGCUGUGAGGUGUUUGAACACAAAGUAUUUUGAUUUUAAAAGUUUUGGGGGAUGGAUGACACAAAGACACAAUACAUUAUCAUUUGGUGUUGUAUUUGAGGGAGCUCUAGGAAGUUAUCAUUUAGUGAGCUAAAUCUGCUACCCAGGUGAGGAUUCCCUCUCAGGAAAUGCAGAGGACUACAGCUGUCCCUUCCACAAAGGCCUUAAAAAAAAGGUAAGUGCUGAGAAAAGGCUGUUGUAGUGAUGCUGACCAGAAGACAGUUGUACAUCAAGAAGAGAAUAGCCCAUUGCUCAGUCAACUUGAUUAGAAUCAUUUAGGUUGGUAAAGAUCCUUGAGACCAUCAAGUCCACCCCUUAACCUAACACUACCAAAUCCACCACUAAACCAUGUCCCUGUGCACCAUGUGCAGGGACAGUUACUCAACCACUUUCCUGGGCAGCCUCUGUCAAUGUUUGACAACCCUCUGUGUGAAGAAAUUUUUCCCAAAUUCCAAUCUAAACCUCCCCUGGCCCAACCUGAGGCCAUUUACUUUUGUCCUAUCACUUCUAACUUGGGAAAGGGGACCAACACCCACCUUCUUACAAUCUCCUUUCAGGCACAGGCCUGUGCUGUGCUGUGUUGUGUUUCACAAAUCCCUGGGUAGCAGGAUAAGCUCAGCUAGCUCACUAUAACCAAAGGACCUGCAGGCAGCUCCCACUUGGUCCUGGAGAGAAAGAUACCUGAGAGCAAGAUGUCCACAGGGAACCUUCUUUUACUGGGACAGUAGAAAUGAUGAGUAGAAUUGCUGUCCUGCAGGAAAGGCCUGUAAUGGUUUGAAUGGCUGAAGCAGGAGCGAGGCACUCUUUCUUGCCCAUGACAGGGCUCUGCAUGACAUGCUGCGCAUGGCUGGAGUCCUGUGUGAAGCUGCUCUGCUCAGGGUCCUCCACCUCUAAAGGAUUCUCCAUGCUAACCUCGUCCAACAGUGUGAGUUAUAAUAAACAUAUUUGGGAAUAAUGUCUUGGAGAGUCAGUGUGUCUCUCUUAGUGAGAUGACAAGGAACCAGCAUCUCCUGGUGUAAAACAACUGCUUCUCAGUUUGUUCCAGCUGGACAUUCCAGUUUUCUGAUGAGGU